UACGUAGGGUGCAAGCGUUGUCCGGAAUUAUUGGGCGUAAAGAGCUUGUAGGCGGUUUGUCGCGUCUGCUGUGAAAUUUCGGGGCUCAACCCCGAACUUGCAGUGGGUACGGGCAGACUAGAGUGUGGUAGGGGGAGACUGGAAUUCCUGGUGUAGCGGUGAAAUACGCAGAUAUCAGGAGGAACACCGAUGGCGAAGGCAGGUCUCUGGGCCAUAACUGACGCUGAGAAGCGAAAGCAUGGGGAGCGAACAGG
rnacentral:rRNA from 1 species